rnacentral:tRNA from 1 species
GGAUCGUUAGCUCAGCGGCUAGAGCGCUUCGUUCACAUCGAAGAGGUCGUAGGUUCAAAUCCUACACGAUCCACAA